AAGAGUAACAGCAGUCCAUUUAGACUCUGUGUCCAUCUCUCUCCUACCUGUGCUUGCCUUCCAGUACCUUUCAUACCUUCUAAAAUGGCCUCUCAUUCAUCAGGAGAGUUUGAGGGUUCACAGUUUUUUAGAUCAAACUCUGAAGAUAAAGAAGGAUGGGAACUUAUACUUUUAGGAAUGCUGUCAUUAGAAAAAACAUUUGGAGCUUGUCUUCUUGAGAGCUCUUCCAUAGAGCAGAGCAAAGAGGCAACUUCGAGUCUGAUACCAACCGGAGGAGUUUGCAGAGGUGCUGCUUCAUCAUCAGUGGUGGCGUCUGUGGAGUUCCUUUAUUCUCUGGCAUUCAUAAAAAUUAUACCACAUCUAUGUACACUUAAGUGACAAUAUAAAUAUAAAAACUUUCUGAAUGAUAUUUUUCUAGUGAGUAUAAUUCAUAGAAAUCUCAAUGAUUCAGAAUAAAACUGGGUGAUGCUAAGAUCUUCUUUCUGGU
rnacentral:lncRNA from 12 species